AGUUGCUUAGCUAUGAAGCACUUAUAUUUUGAAAAUAUAAUUUAGAUGUUCAACUCAUCUAGUAACUU
rnacentral:tRNA from 1 species